GAGGAAGCCCGGUGAGACUCCGGCGCGGUCCCGCCACUGUGAACCCGGCCCAGGCCGGGUGAGCCAGGAACUC
rnacentral:ncRNA from 2 species